GAAUUUUGGACAAUGGGGGCAACCCUGAUCCAGCCAUGCCGCGUGUGUGAAGAAGGCCUUCGGGUUGUAAAGCACUUUCGGACGGAACGAAAUCGCGCGGGUGAAUAUCCCGCGUGGAUGACGGUACCGUAAGAAGAAACAACGGCUAACUACGUGCCAGCAGCCGCGGUAAUACGUAGGGUGCGAGCGUUAAUCGGAAUUACUGGGCGUAAAGUGUGCGCAGGUGGCCUCGCAAGUCGAGUGUGAAAUCCCCGAGCUUAACUUGGGAAUUGCGCUCGAAACUACGGGGCUCGAGUGUGGCAGAGGGAGGUGGAAUUCCACGUGUAGCGGUGAAAUGCGUAGAGAUGUGGAGGAACACCAAUGGCGAAGGCAGCCUCCUGGGCCAACACUGACGCUCAUGCACGAAAGCGUGGGGAGCAAACAGG
rnacentral:rRNA from 1 species